AUGCCUAUCUGCGAGUCGCUUGCUAUCUUGGAGUACAUCGAUGAGGUCUACCAUGGGAUAGGACCCUCCCUCCUCCCCGCCGACCCCUACCAACGUGCUAGGGCUCGAUUCUGGGCCAUCUACAUUGACGACAAGCUAGUCGCGCCAUGGUGGAAGAUGUUUGUGGGCAAGACAGAUAAGGAGAAAGAUGAAGGGACAAUGCAAACGCUAGCGGCGGUGGAUAUGCUAGAGGGGGCCUUGAGGGAAUGCUCCAAGGGGAAGCCGUUCUUUGGAGGAGACAACGUCGGAUAUGUUGAUGUUGUGUUGGGUGGUAUGGUUGCAUGGAUGCAAGGAACCGAGGCGCUUUGUGGUGUGGAGCUUCUACAUACCACCAAGACUCCGCUUCUAUUGGCAUGGAUGGAGCGCUUUGGCGAAAUGGAACCCGCCAAGGUGGUUCUGCCAAAAGUCGAUAGGCUGGUUGAGUUUGCAAAGAUGAAACGUGCCCAAAGGGCUCUAAUCUAA
rnacentral:rRNA from 1 species